AAUAACGAAGUGACAAGCAAACAAUAUAUAUUCCUACUGAAUUUACUAGGCUACCUUCAAUGAGCAACUGAACACUACAAAACUGAUCUCAAAACAUAAAUUUUGUUAACACAGAUAUACUUAAUACAUUUUGAUAUGAAACAA